rnacentral:rRNA from 1 species
UGCGCAGGCUGUUUUGUAAGUCAGAUGUGAAAUCCCCGAGCUCAACUUGGGAACUGCGUUUGAAACUACAAGACUAGAAUAUGUCAGAGGGGGGUAGAAUUCCACGUGUAGCAGUGAAAUGCGUAGAGAUGUGGAGGAAUACCAAUGGCGAAGGCAGCCCCCUGGGAUAAUAUUGACGCUCAUGCACGAAAGCGUGGGGAGCAAACAGGAUUAGAUACCCUGGUAGUCCACGCCCUAAACGAUGUCUACUAGUUGUUGGUGGAGUAAAAUCCAUGAGUAACGCAGCUAACGCGUGAAGUAGACCGCCUGGGGAGUACGGUCGCAAGAUUAAA